ensembl:lncRNA
GGCGUAGCAGAUGUUGUUGGCUGCCUACCCAACGGCCAUCCCCUUCCCCAGUCCAUGCCUCUACACUCUUUCUUGCUGAAUAGAACUCCCAUUCUGUUCAGGAAACAAGGACUGUGUGUUCCACAGCGGCCUGGGCCCCAGUCCUAGCCCCGGCCCCAGGAAGGAAUCUUGAUUGGCAAGGCAAGAGCCAAAACAAGUCAUGUGACACAGCUCUUGCCAGGGAGAUGACAGCUGGAAUCGUGAGUAGUGCACCCAGAAAAGCUUUGUAAAGGGAGCAGACUGAAUUGCCAUGUUCCUGCCUGCCUUUCUCCCCUUCCUCCUUUUUCCUGUUUAGAAUGUGAAUGUGAUGUCUGGAGCUUCAGCAGCCACAUUUGGACCAUGAGCCCAAUUUGAAAAUGGCAGUCAUGUGCCCAGGAUAAUGAGAGAGAAAGAGAAAAGGAACCUGAGUCUUUCCUCCCAGAUGGCGCUGUGCAGCUGCCGUACCAGCCCUGGGCCGCCUGCCUUUGGACUUCUUGUAACCAAACAAAUGAAUAAAUAACCCCGUAAUCUGCGUAAGCCCCCACUUGUCAGGUUCCUAUUAGCAGCUAUGCGCAAUUCCUAACUGCUGCAAGCGUAGUUUCCUGAUGGGGAGCAGCUCCGAUCAGAGCUGGAUAAGAUCCUGAAGUGGUUUGUAAACUGCAUUCUGCAGGAGCUGAGGGAUCCUAUGAAGCCCCCUCUCAGACUGGAGAUCAGGGAUGGGAGGAGAAGGACCAUGCUGCCUCUCCCCACCUCAUCUUUUUUCCAAGUUUGUUUUAACUUACUGUAGCAGGAGAGGUGGCCCAGUUAGGCUUUGCGGAAAGAACAGAUUUCAGGACAAAAAAAAUAAAAGGUUUGGAAAUCACUUUUCUUGUCCAACCCCCUCAUUUUACAGAUGAGUGAUCUGAGGCCCCCAAAACGUCUUGCCAGUCAAGCUUAGCCAGGCAAAGCCAAGAGGAGAACCCAAGUUUUCUGCUCUUUCCGGGGGCCCUGCCAAGUGCUGGAACUGCCACACACAAAAAAAGCCGAUCCAAAGAGUUUACAAUCGCUGACGAAGUCCCAACCCACCAAGCUCUGAUGGGCUGCCUGCUCUUAGGGGAAUUGGACAGGGCCCCUCCGGUUAAAACUAAUGAGGGCUGGGAAUGCCCUUUCAGGGCCCUGGGCAGCCAAUUUGCCCUCCUGCUGAGAGAAAGUUGGACCCGGUUCCUCUUCUGUCUUUAUAGUAAUUCAUUCAUUGUUUGUUUAUUUUUUUUUAAAGCACACACACAUUAGAUGUGUGAAGCAAAGGGGGCGAAUGGGUGGCAUGAAAUCCUCAAUGCAUGGGGCUCUUUGUCCCUGUUCUUGUAGUUCUCCUUUGCAAAAUGCUCGCUUAAUCAAUUCAAGAUCAAUGGCUGCUAAGUCGCAGCUGUAAACACCAUCUCAUUCAAGGUCAAUUAGAGCAGCCCAGUGUUCUGUAGCAGGAAGUUUAACUGUGGGAGGGGCCUGGGGAGGGCCUUUAUCAUGGAGCCUUCAGUAAGUGUUUACAGAGCCCGUCCUUGUGGAUUUGCCCUAUGUGGGCACAUUGGUCAACUUGGUAGAAAAUACGUCACCACUUGAGUGGAAUAACUAGAUGUUAUAAUAAUUCAGAAUAUCUCAUUCCAGGACUUUCACUAGAAACUCUUUUCCUCAUCCCUCCAUUCUAUCCAUCCAUCCAUCCAUCAUCCAUCCAUCCAUCCAUCCAUCUACCCACCCACUCCACAAUUAUUUCUUGAGCAGCUACUCAUGUAUCCAGCACUGGUGCAGAAGAAAACAGGCAGGGUCCUCGCUUGGAGAUUUUUUGAGGUGAGCAUAGAGAGCCCGAGAAUGAGCAUGUAAAUGAGUGGACAGAGAAGGGAGCCUGUGACAGAGUUGUCCUCAGCUGGAGAAGCAGCCCAGAGGAGGUCACACUGCACCCCCUCCAUGGGGCAGCCGGGACAAUGCGAGCCCCCCUACCCUCAGCCCCACCCCAUCCCAACCCCAGGGCUCUGCUUUCCAGCUAUGAUGAACUCAUGGGGCCUCUCAGAGUGUUCAGUGAUUAUCAGGGGCCAGGCUCAGUGUUAAGCGUUUGGCUCGGAUUCUUCUGCUGAACUCCUUUUGGAAACAGGCUUUUCCCCCUACCCUCAGGUGCCCACAAUGAGACAAGGGCUGAAAAGUCUCUCAGAGGAGCCCAGAUACCAGGGUGAGCUUAGCAGCCCUUCACUUUGUGAGCACUGGGCAAGGCCCAAGACUGCUUGAAGACUGUUAUUUGUAAACUCCAAAGGCUUCAGAACAGCUGUGUGAUGCAAAAGAAAAAAUCACCAUAAAACCAGCUUUCAUAAAUUCAUUCAGCAACUAUUUUAAGGCAUGGAGGAGAACCAGAAUAGAUGCUACACUCGGAAUUAGAGACCCAAGUUCAAAUCCUUCCACCACCUCUCAUUCUUCAGCAAGUCCUUAAUUUAUUGAGGCUCACUUUCCUAACUUGUAAAGUGGUGCUAACACUAUCCCACUCAUGUAACUGUGAUGAGGAUUUUUUUUACAUGGGAUUCCAUAGCCAGUGACUGAAUCUGCCUUGGAGGCAGAGAGAUCCACUAAGAGACUGGGAGAGUGGCUUAGGCCAGGGGCACUAAUGAAAUAUUGCAGAUGAGAACAAUGGCUGGGAAAGAUGCCAAAGUGCUAAGAUCAAUGGGACUUGGCAGCUCCUUGCAGAGGGGUGGGGUAUCACCAUUCAUGAAGGCAAGGAACUGGGAGAAGCUUGGGAGACUUGGUGGGCAGUGAUGCCAUUGACAACCACUGGGGACACCAAAGAUACUCUGUUUGGGAGACCAGUGGGCCAACCAGGUAGUCAUCAGUAGGCACCUGGCAGCUGGAGACUGUGGGAGUCAUUCACAGGUGGUCGUUGAAGACACAAUGGGCAUGGGUGAGGUCUGGUAGGAGACACAUGCCAUUUUUGACUGUCCAACAUAACAUACACCUUCAAACAACUGCUCCUCCUCCAUUGCCGUCAUGAGUGUUUGCAGGACUGACAGUCCCCAUAAAAUGCAAGGGGAGAUAAGAAGCCUGGACCCCUGGUCAUCCCAGCAGGCAGCUCCCUUGGCCAUGUGAUUGCUGUAGUGGGGAAGAUAUGACUCAGCAUGGGACACUCAGAGUCCUUCCUGGGGAUUUUUCAAUUUGGAAUUAAAGAAGGGGCUUUGUCUUUUGCAUCCUCGAGUGGGAAGGAAUUGAGACAUGCCAGGGGCCAUCUUCUGUGGAAUAUGAAGAAGCUAAUUUGCUGGAGAGAAUAAAGCCAAUCAGAGGAAGCAGAGCUGAGAAAUAGAGAGGAGGAGAAUCCUGACGGCAACGUGUUCCUGAUUCCAGUCUCAAAAACUCCCAAAGCUUCUGUGCUUUCCACAGCACUUCCUUCAGUUCGUUGAGCUACUGCAGGCAUGAGAGUCAUUAAAUUCUCUCUUUUCAAGUCAGCUUGAAUUGGGUUUCUAUCACUUGCACUCCAAAGAAUCUUAGCUAACUCAGCUCUCAAAGGCAGAAAGAUUGCAUAGCUGAUUUUGAACACUUUACUAUCCAUAUACACAUUUCAGAAGCUGAUGGAAAGCUAUGGAUGGAUGCAGGAAAGGUUGUCUACAAGUUCAAGGUGGGGGAAUCUCAUCAAAGAGCCCAGUCAUGGAAUACUAGAACCUCUGGGACACAGGAAACAGCAGGGAGACUUGGGCUGAUCCUUGGGAGACAGGUCAUUUUCAGGAGACAAGAGGAGAAAGACUAGGGCCAGAGGCAGAAUGAAAAGAUCAUAUAAAUGGAAGGAGAAUCAAGAAGGGGCAGCAUGGUGGAAACCAAGGAAGAAGGAUGCUCAGAGGAAGUUCCCACCAGUGCAUUCAUAAAGGCUGUGGAAUUUGGGAACUGCAUAAUGGAUGUUUUGGCGAGCUCAGCAAAGAAGGCGUGAGGCAGCUCACAGAAGCCAGGUUGCAGGGAGGGUUCCUAAGAAGGAGUGAAUCUUUAAAACAUUAUGCUAAGUGAAAGAGGCCAGAUAUAGGGGCCACAUAUUCUAUGAUGACAUUUAUAUGAGGUAUCCAGGAUCAAAUAGGGAAAUCCACAGAGGCAGGAAACAGAUUGCCAGAGGCUGAGGAAGGGGGAAUCAGGAGUGACUGCUUAACAGGUACAAAAUUUCUUUUCAGGGUGAUGAAUGAGAUAGUGGUGGUGGCUGCACAACACAGCAAGCACACUAAAAACCACUAAAGUGUACUUUGUUGUUUUGUUGUUGUCGUUGUUGCUUUUGGAAAUAGGGUCUUGUUCUGUCACCCAGGCUGGAGUGCAAUGACAAGAUCUGGGCUCACUGCAGCCUGUACCUCCUGGGUUCAAGUGAUUCUCCUGCCUCACCCUCCCAAGCAGCUGGGAUUACAGGCACCUAGCACCACACCUGGCUAAAUUUUGUAUUUUUAGGAGACACAGGGUUUCACCAUGUUGGCCAGGUUGGUCUCGAACUUCUGACCUCAGGUGAUCUGACCACAUUGGCCUCCCAAAGUGCCAGGAUUACAGGCAUGAGCCAUCGUGCCCGGCUUAAAGUAUACAUUUUAAAGGGGAAAUAUUACGUUAUGUAAAUAUGAUCUCAGUUUCAAAAGCAAGUGGGGGCUGGUAGAAGGGAAGCAGCAAGAAUAGAGCCUCCGUGGAGGUGCUUGGCAGAGGAUCCAAAAGGAGCGCUGGGUGAUACCUGGAGGGAAACAGUAAGAUCAAGGAAAUGAAUUUUUAGGAUGAGAAACCCUGACCUCAGAGAGAAGGUAGGUGUGGUGGACAGAAUGGUAGCACCAAAGAUGUCCCUGUCCUAAUGCCUAGAACCUGUGAAUAUAUUACCUUACAUGGCAAAGGGGACCUCAGAUUGCAGGUGGAAAUAAGGGCGCUGAUCAGCUGACCUUAGCAUAGGGAGAUGAUCCCUGGUUAUCUAGGGGGCCCUGUGUAAUCACAAUGGGCCUUACAGGUAUGACUAGGAGGCAGAACAGUCGACGUCAGGAGGUGAGAUUUGAGAAAAACUCAACUGGCCAAGCCUGGCCUUACUGAUGAAGGAAGGGAGUCACAGGCUGAGGAAUGUGGACAGCCUCUAGAAGCCGGAAAAGGCAAGGAAAUGGACUUGACCCCAUGGCCUCCAGAAGAAAAAGCAACACUGUAGACACCUUGACUUCAGCCCCGUGAGAUGCAUGUCAGACAUCUGACCUGCAGAACUCUAAGAUAAGUCUGUGCUGCCUUAAGCCACUACAUUUUUGGUCAUUUGUUACAACAGCGAUAGGCAACCAAUACAUUGGGAUGUUCUAAAGAUAGGGAUGACUAAAUAUCAGGAGGAAGCUGGUGGCUAUGAGAUGGCGGCGAUGUAGGCAGAACAUUGGCCUCAAAGUCAAAUGAUGUGUGAAACCCCAACUACCACUAACUUAACUGCACAGUCAUAGGCAAGUCAGCCCUCCCCUUGCUGGGCCUCAGUUUUCCCACCUGUGAAAUAGGAGCAUUGGUGCGAUGACCUCUAAGGGAUCCACCAGCUCUGAUGCUCUGGUUCCUCGGGCUUUGCAGCUGCGGUCAUUGGAAUAGCAUAUGCUGGGUCUGCCUCUGCCAGGGUCCAUAGGGAGGCUGACCUGAUUGUUUUGGUUUGUCAGAGAGGCUGCCCUACUGAAGGAUGAUGGCAAAGGACACUCAGCUGCCUUCCACAGAGGCAGCAGGGUAAAGAGGAUCCAGGAUACCCCACUAUCACCAUCCCCAUAAUAUAUGUAUUAGUCCAUUUUCACACUGCUGUGAAGAACUAGCUGAGGCCAGGCCCAGUGGCUCACCUCUAUAAUCCCAGCACUCUCAGAGGCCAAGGUGGACGGAUCACUUGAGGUCAGGAGUGCAAGACCAGCCUGGCCAACGUGGUGAAACCCCGUCUCUACAAAAAAUACAAAAUUAGUUGGGCAUCGUGGUGCACACUGUAAUCUUAGCUACUUGAGAGGCUGAGGCAGGAGAAUCACUUGAACCUGGGAGAUGGAGGUUGCAGUGAGCCAAGAUCACACCACUGCACUCCAGCCUGAGCGACAGAGCUAGACUCCAC